rnacentral:rRNA from 1 species
CCCUUAGAUGUUCUGGGCGGCACGCGCACUACAUUGGCACUCUCAAUAAGUUCCUAGAUCUAAAACUUUGGGGUAUUCUAUUAAGUGGUGUCGUGACUGGGAUUAACCCUUGCAAUUAUUGGUUACGAACGAGGAAUUCCUUGUAAUCGCGGUUUAUCAGCCCGCGUUGAAUGCGUCCCUGCCCUUUGUACACACCGCCCGUCGCUCCUACCGAUGAAUCGUCCGGUGAAGUUCAUGGAGUGGUGGUUGUUCCAGCUGCUGUCGAAGUGAAAUGGACCUCACGAUUUAGAGGAAGGAGAAGUCGUAACA